rnacentral:lncRNA from 1 species
AAAUGGAAUGAUCAAUUGAGGGGGAGAAAGAAAAUUUCAGAAGGAGAGGUCUUAUGGAACUUAAUCGCAUAAAUCUAUAACUAAAGGAGAGAGGAAGAAUACUAAAUGAAAAGUGAUCUUAAUGCUCUCCAAUAUGUAUCAUCUGAAAUUUAAAUCUGAAAAUCUUUAUGAUACACCUUGAGGAUUGUUAUUUGGUUAAUAUUUCUUAUGCAUACAUUAUGAACCAAAUUGCAAGUCAAACAGUUGAUCUUAAGAGCCUCUAACUUAAUGAAAAAGGGGGAGAAUAACGUGUUGAAUUUUCUUGAGUAUCUCUUAGAAAAUCUAUUUUGAAAUUCACUAAUGAGAUCUAAUUGGCUUGCUCUUUAGAACUUCAAUUUUGUGCCAAUUCAUAUUUUUUAUGUAUCAAAUUGUGCUUAUUUUUGUUUGGGAAUAAAAGAAAAUCUUUAAAAGAACUCUAAAUGAUCUUUCAAAGCUUUGCAUUUUAUGUAUGCUCUAAGAUAUAUCAUAAAUUUCAUGAAUUCAU